rnacentral:lncRNA from 1 species
AUGUCACCAAAUGGCAGGGCGCGCGGGUGCCAGGGCCAUUACAAGUUUCUCGCACUCCACAGAGCCCACACCAGAUCCCGCGCGGACAACAAAAGAUUCUCUACGCUUCCCCCACGGUCUCCGUGGAACCCCUUCUCCCAUCCCAGAACCCAAACCUGGUGCUGGGCGAAAACAGCGCUCUUCUACCCAACCUCCUCCAGUCCUCGAGGGCAGAACCCCAUACCCUUCCCCUGCCUUCGCACCAGGACAGGGCUAUUCCGAGAAUCCCACCCUCUUGGGGCCUCUGCUCCCUUCUGGCCCGAAAGUGAGGACCGGCCCUGGGUCCUGCACACACAUCCCCAAGCCAGGCAGCCAUCCGCACGGUCGCGGUCCGGGGCGGCGCCGGGCGUGUGCGCAGCGCGGGUGGGGAAGCUCGCAACACGGAGCUCGGCGGUCUCUGGGGCGCAGGGCGGAGAGGAGCGGCAGGCAGGGCUUACGACUGCUCCCCCAGGGCGGGCCAACGCUCGGGAGACAGAGACACGAGACAAAAUAAAACGCAGGCACUACAAAGCCGACAGCCCGUGCCGGCCGCGGCCGCGGGACCCGCAGGCUGGAGCCGAGUCGCCCGUGAGGUGGGGCGCGCCGAGCCGCCCCAGCCGUACCUUUUCGGUGCAUCGACGGGCAGACGGCCGGGGCUCGGAGCGGGCUGACACAGAAGGGGAGAGGAAAAAAGAAGGAAAAAACCAACAAGGAAGGAGUAAAUGUUCAAGAAACUCUUCUCCAAAUCCAAAUUCCACUUGGAUUCCACUCCGAGUCCCAUGUGAGAGGGCGGCCCUCCUCCAGCUUGUGGUUAUGCUCUGUGCAUACAUGGCCUCCAAGGAUGCAAGAAGCGCUGAACAUCCUCAACCUGCCUGGAACGUGGACCCCUUGGCUCCCUGUCCACUGACUGAAACUGGAAUUUAAAUGUGUGGCUGUCUAGCUGCAGAGCUGGUGUGCUGUCCUCUUCAGAACACCACUCUGAACGUGCUGAAGUGGCUAAUUCAGCUCAAGGGUUGGCAUGGAGUAGACUGCCUAAGAAAUUUAUCCAACAUCAAUAGAAUAGACCCACAAUUGUGGGCUUGUGGCAGACUUCUUCCACAACUCCCAUGCUAUAUAUAGUUUGCAACGUGAGAGUCCCUCAAAGUAGAAUGAAAUAGCUUGUGUAUGUUUACAGUGGUUUAUGCUCCUGCAGUGGCUAGAUAUUUUGAGGAAAAGGAUCCUGAAGAAGAGAAAGAGAAAGAGAUAUUUAGAGAUGAAGCUUCUAGAAGAUGGCAGAGAAAAGGUCAUCACAAGUCAUUACAGAUUCAUUUCUCAGUUAGAAAUACUGAGUUGAGUCCGCCCAGCUCUUAAUCUAGUCUGUCAUUUUAAGAAACUGCCAGUCAUGUACCUCCUUUCUCUCUCCCUCUUUCCUCAGCUUUACCUCACCAUACAAAAUACCUAUUUUAUGUUUUAAAUACAAAUCUUAAUUGAGUGAACGAGAAUGCAGUGAUACCUGCAUAGUCAAGCCGGCCCACACAGGUUAUUUACUAGUUCUUCAAUUCUAGAUAUAAGUUUACUUAUUUCAUACUUCUUUCAUUGACCCUCAAAAUUUGGUGGUUCACAGUCAGCCCUGAUGGCCUAGCAGUUAAAGUUUGGCACACUCUGCUUUGAUGGCCCAGGUUCAGUUCCCAGAUGCAGAACCAUGCCACUCGUCUGUCAGUAGCCAUGCUGUGGCAACGGCUCACAUAGAAGAACCAGAAGAACUUACAACUACCUAGAACUACGUACUGGGGCUUUAGGGGGGAAAAAGAAAGAAAAAAACAAAGGAGGGAGAUUGGCAACAGAUGUUGGCUUAGGGUGAAUCUUCCCCUGCAAAAAACAAACAGACAAAAAACUUGGUGGUUCAGGAGCUAAUGAUUCUAUUUGUGAAUUGUGCAGUCUUUGCCUCUCUCACACCAGUUCACACCUCUCUUUUGGUUUUUUAAAGAUUGGUACCUGAGCAAACAUCUGUUGCCAAUCUUCUUUUGUUGUUUCUUCUUCUCCCCAAAGCCCCCUGGUACAGAGUUGUAUAUUCUAGUUGUGAGAGCCUCUGGUUGUGCUAUGUGGGGACACCACCUCAGGAUGGCCUGACGAGCAGUGCCAUGUCUGCACCCAGGAUGGGAACCGGCGAAACCCCAGGGCACCUAACUGGAGCGUGUGAACUUAACCGCUUGGCCAUGGGGCCAGCCCCUGUUAUGCUUUUCAAAAGAACUUUUGAAAGAAGUUGGUAUGUGAAAGAAGAUAAAGCAAAACUUACUCCUCUCAUCUACCUAUCCAUGCAUGUUUGCAUCUUCCUACAAGUUCUUGCAAGAGAAUUAGUGGAAAAAGAGGUCUGAAAUACUGGCUGAAAAUUAAAAUUUUCUGUGGAUUUGCUUUACCCUUACACUGUGACUAAUUGAGAAUUUAUAGUAUCUAUUCACCAAUUCCACUAAUUCUGUGGGUGAAAUUUCAUGUUGACUAUUCUAUACCACUUAAACUUGUGUCUACUUCUUUGAGGGAGGGUCUAUAGCCAUUUCUGAUCUAAUACAGUCACGUGUUGCUUAACAACACGGAUAUGGUCUGAGAAAGGCAUCAUUAGGUGAUUUUGUCGUUGUGCAAACAUCCUAGAGUGUACUCAUAUAAACCCAGGUGGUAUAGCCUACUACUCCCCGAGGCUAUGUGAUAGAGCCUAUUGCUCCUAGGCUACAAAUCUAUCCUAGAUUCUGUAGGCAGUUGUAACACAGUGGUAAGUAUUUGUUUAUCUAAACAUAGAAAAUGUACAAUAAAAAUACGGAUAAAAAUGGUACA